AGUUGCCAGCACAUAAUGGUGGGCACUCUGUGGAGACUGCCCGGGUUAACCGGGAGGAAGGUGGGGAUGACGUCAAGUCAUCAUGGCCCUUACGCCUAGGGCUACACACGUACUACAAUGGUGGGUACAAAGGGCAGCAAAACCGCGAGGUCGAGCGAAUCUCAAAAAACCCAUCAUAGUCCGGAUUGCAGUCUGCAACUCGACUGCAUGAAGUUGGAAUCGCUAGUAAUCCCGGAUCAGCAUGCCGGGGUGAAUACGUUCCCGGGCCUUGUACACACCGCCCGUCACACCACGAAAGUCGGUUCUACCCGAAGUCGCCGGACUAACCCUUGGGAGGCUAGGCGCUACGGUAGGGCUGGUAA
rnacentral:rRNA from 1 species